rnacentral:rRNA from 1 species
AUAGAUACCCUGGUAGUCCACGCCGUAAACGAUGAGUGCUAAGUGUUAGAGGGUUUCCGCCCUUUAGUGCUGAAGUUAACGCAUUAAGCACUCCGCCUGGGGAGUACGGCCGCAAGGCUGAAACUCAAAGGAAUUGACGGGGGGCCCGCACAAGCGGUGGAGCAUGUGGUUUAAUUCGAAGCAACGCGAAGAACCUUACCAGGUCUUGACAUCCUCUGACAACCCUAGAGAUAGGGCUUCUCCUUCGGGAGCAGAGUGACAGGUGGUGCAUGGUUGUCGUCAGCUCGUGUCGUGAGAUGUUGGGUUAAGUCCCGCAACGAGCGCAACCCUUGAUCUUAGUUGCCAUCAUUCAGUUGGGCACUCUAAGGUGACUGCCGGUGACAAACCGGAGGAAGGUGGGGAUGACGUCAAAUCAUCAUGCCCCUUAUGACCUGGGCUACACACGUGCUACAAUGGACGGUACAAAGAGCUGCAAGACCGCGAGGUGGAGCUAAUCUCAUAAAACCGUUCUCAGUUCGGA